rnacentral:rRNA from 1 species
AUAGCGUAUAUUAAAGUUGUUGCGGUUAAAAAGCUCGUAGUUGAAUCUGUGUCCCACGCUGUCGGUUCACCGCUCGCGGUGUUUAACUGGCAUGAUUGUGGGACGUCCUACCGGUGGGCUUAGCCUUUCGGGGCGGCCCAACUAAUAUCCCAUCGCGGUGCUCUUCAUUGAGUGUCGAGGUGGGCCGGUACGUUUACUUUGAACAAAUUAGAGUGCUUAAAGCAGGCUAUUUUCGCCUGAAUACUGUGUGCAUGGAAUAAUGGAAUAGGACCUCGGUUCUAUUUUGUUGGUUUUCGGAACCCCGAGGUAAUGAUUAAUAGGAACAGAUGGGGGCAUUCGUAUUGCGACGUUAGAGGUGAAAUUCUUGGAUCGUCGCAAGACGGACAGAAGCGAAAGCAUUUGCCAAAAAUGUUUUCUUUAAUCAAGAACGAAAGUUAGAGGUUCGAAGGCGAUCAGAUACCGCCCUAGUUCUAACCAUAAACGAUGCCAGCUAGCGAUCCGCCGAAGUUCCUCCGAUGACUCGGCGGGCAGCUUCCGGGAAACCAAAGCUUUUGGGUUCCGGGGGAAGUAUGGUUGCAAAGCUGAAACUUAAAGGAAUUGACGGAAGGGCACCACCAGGAGUGGAGCCUGCGGCUUAAUUUGACUCAACACGGGAAACCUCACCAGGCCCGGACACCGGAAGGAUUGACAGAUUGAGAGCUCUUUCUUGAUUCGGUGGGUGGUGGUGCAUGGCCGUUCUUAGUUGGUGGAGCGAUUUGUCUGGUUAAU